AGCGAACGCUGGCGGCGUGCCUAACACAUGCAAGUCGAACGUGAAAAGGGAAACCUGAGUACAGUGGCGUACGGGUGAGUAACGCGUAGGUAAUCUACCCCAGAAUCUGGAAUAACCUGCCGAAAGGCGGGCUAAUACUGGAUAGAGCGAGGGAACUCGUAAGAGAGUUUUUCGGGAAAGGGAGCCCGCAAGGGCCUUCGUUCUGGGAUGAGCCUGCGUCUCAUUAGCUAGUUGGUAAGGUAACGGCUUACCAAGGCGAUGAUGAGUAGCUGGUCUGAGAGGGUGAUCAGCCACACUGGAACUGAAACACGGUCCAGACUCCUACGGGAGGCAGCAGUGGGGAAUCUUGCGCAAUGGACGAAAGUCUGACGCAGCCACGCCGCGUGAGUGAAGAAGGCCUUCGGGUUGUAAAGCUCUGUCGGAUGGGACGAACAUCUUCAUAGUGAAUAGCUAUGAGGACUGACGGUACCAUCAAAGGAAGCACCGGCUAACUCCGUG
rnacentral:rRNA from 1 species